rnacentral:rRNA from 1 species
GACGAACGCUGGCGGCGUGCUUAACACAUGCAAGUCGAACGUGCCUGUCCUCUGGGUUUCUGGGGGGUGGGUGAGUGGCGAACGGGUGAGUAACACGUGAGUAACCUGCCCCCUUCUUCGGGAUAACGGUCUGAAAGGGCUGCUAAUACCGGGUAUUCACUGGUCUCCGCAUGGGGUCUGGUGGAAAGGUUUUUUUCUGGUGGGGGAUGGGCUCGCGGCCUAUCAGCUUGUUGGUGGGGUGAUGGCCCACCAAGGCUUUGACGGGUAGCCGGCCUGAGAGGGUGACCGGUCACAUUGGGACUGAGAUACGGCCCAGACUCCUACGGGAGGCAGAAGUGGGGAAUAUUGCACAAUGGGCGCAAGCCUGAUGCAGCGACGCCGCGUGAGGGAUGGAGGCCUUCGGGUUGUGAACCUCUUUCGCCCGUGGUCAAGCCGCGACGUGGGUCGUGGUGAGGGUAGUGGGUAAAGAAGCGCCGGCUAACUACGUG